rnacentral:tRNA from 1 species
GAGGAAGUAGUUUAAUGGACGAACGUCUGGUUCCUAACCGGAUGGAUAGAAGUUCGACGCUUGUCUUCCUCC